rnacentral:rRNA from 1 species
UACGUAGGUGGCAAGCGUUGUCCGGAUUUAUUGGGUUUAAAGGGUGCGUAGGCGGCUUGAUAAGUCAGCGGUAAAAGGUAGCAGCUUAACUGUUUUACCUGCCGUUGAUACUGUCGAGCUUGAAUUAACUGGAGGCAGAUAGAACUCCUGAUGUAGCGGUGAAAUGCAUAGAUAUCAGGAAGAAUACCGAUUGCGAAGGCAGUCUGCUGUGGUUUUAUUGACGCUGAGGCACGAAAGCAUGGGGAUCAAACAGG